rnacentral:rRNA from 1 species
UACGUAGGGUGCGAGCGUUGUCCGGAAUUAUUGGGCGUAAAGAGCUCGUAGGCGGUCCGUCACGUCCGCUGUGAAAACCCAGGGCUCAACCCUGGGCUUGCAGUGGAUACGGGCAGACUAGAGGUAGGUAGGGGAGAAUGGAAUUCCCGGUGUAGCGGUGAAAUGCGCAGAUAUCGGGAGGAACACCGGUGGCGAAGGCGGUUCUCUGGGCCUUACCUGACGCUGAGGAGCGAAAGCGUGGGGAGCGAACAGG